AAAAAAAGCAAUUUGAAAAAGAUGACUGCUGGAAAGUUUUCAAAGACAGGAUUAUUAUCAUGGAGAUAUUAAUAGGUCCGCCAGUUGUCCAACUGAAACUUUCAGAUUUUUGAACCGUGCAGCCCUAAAAAUUGAAGGAGACAGAUUAACGGAUAGAUCGAAUGCAAGAUCUUGGUGGCUAUGUACGGUGGAGGAAAUGGAAGAUUUCAACACUCUAAUCAAAAUCUUGCCACUGGUCUCCCGGCAUUGUGCUAACCAUGGACAGGUGUCAAUGAUUUAAAACUCAUUACUCCACUGUCAGCUCCUCCUGUUUUUUUGAAUUAUAACCCAUAUAAACUAAGAACAAUAGCGAUAAUGAUUUAAAACUUUUCAGGUUAUAUAAGUGAUUAGGUAUAAAAAAUAUAAAAAAGUUUAUACUCGGCUUAUUUUCAAA